CUAAUCUUCCAAAUCGCUACCAAUCACCUUAUCCUCUCCCUCCGACCCACGUCGCCGUCGGCCGCCCCUCUCCCCACCUCGGCUCCUCCCACCUUGCAACUCCAGAGGCUGCCGGAUCCGCCGCAUCCCCACCCACCCAUCCCUCUCGCGUCCCAUCUCUCUCUGCACGCAGCUCCUCGCUGCGCCACAUGCGGUGGCUGAAUCAGGCGACGUCCGGCGAAUUCUGUUACCGCGAAGCACAAAUCAAGGUCCCCUCACACCACAGUGUCCUCUCAGCCGGCUAGAUCCGGUGCUCAUGGCCACCAAAGCCCACCCGCGACCUGUCCUCCCCCAUGGCUAGGGUUUCGGGCAUCAGCUCCAUCGCCGGUGGCCAUGUCGUCCUCCUCUCGUCCGACGUGCAGGGAGCAACGGCCUGUGGACAGCCUUGUUGUUGCUCGGGACAAAGCAGUCAUGGAGCUUUCCUCCUCCCCCUUCAGGCAGUGAAUGCAUCUUGUUGGGGUGGUCUGCAGCUCCAAUCGCCUCCAGCAGCACCACAUAAUCAAAGUUCCAAACAUUAGUGCUGCACUGCUGCCCCAGCCAACCAUUUCACUUUGAUGUUUAUAGGUGGCUUAUCAUAAUCAUUUGAUAUGUUUCUUAUGUAGAAGAUUUGAGUGAUCCACACGCACCAACUCUAUGCAGGGGGACGCCAUGGAGCAAGUCGAGUAAGUGGAGCAUGUCAUGGACGAUGCCAUGGAAGGUAUACUCUCUCCCUCUCCCUACCGUGCUACUACUCGUUGUGUCCACGGCCAUUGAGCCAUGCUAGUAUCUAUGCUGAUGUCCAUGCAAAUUUAUAGGAUUUGGGGCUGUAGGUUUCAGUGGAUAAAUAUAUCAGUUGGUUCACACAAAAACGCUUUGACUAUAGGUGUACAGAAUUAGCAAUGGAUCUCUAGGCUGCUGAUUACCAUGUAAAUUCAAUUCAGUUUAUUUGGGGCUGUAGGUUUGUUCCAAAGCGCUGCGAGCACCCAUAGGUUUGUCUGUUUCCUGUUGGAUGACUGAAACCAACUAGAGCUAAAUGUUUUUGUUCAGUUUCAGAUGGCUAAAACCGUUUUCUUUCAGUUUGUUAACUAACUAGAGAGAAGAGAAGAGAAGUGGUACUGUCACUCACAUUGCCCUUGAAUGCCGGUGUCUUUUGAUAAUCAUAACAGGUAUGUAACUCUUGCUAUAGUUGUAAGUUGUGGUCCCAAAUUUAAUCUUGAUGGUGCUGAAAUUACAAAUGGAUUCUGGGUAGUGCAUGUCGAUGUGGCACUUUUGAAAACUGAAGAUUUGGUGCCGAGUCAUGAAAACGGCAAUACCCUCGGUAAUGCAUUAAAACAAAGAUUGCAUGACCUUCAACCUUUGUAGGCGUUUAAUAUCUUUCCUCUAUCAAUACUUGCAUCAUGUCAAUUCAUUGUGUGUUAACAGUUCAUUUUUCUAUUUUCUUUGCAGAUUCAAAAGAUAUAUGGAUGAUUAUAUGGGUGCGUAGCAAGUAUACUGCAAUGAUGAUGAUGACGGUGGAUGCUUUCAGGAUUAGUUAAGUUGUAGGGAUGUUGUUCCUGUUGGAUGUUGUUCCUCGAUUAAGUUUUAGUUCAAGUUGUAGGGAUGUUGAUGGAAGCCUUUUUGUUUAAGUUUUUCUGUCAAGAAAAAUGUUUAGAUUAUGCAUCAAAUCUGGAUGAUGUUCCUCCUGCAAUAUCCACAAUUGUAAUCCAACAGUUUUAUCCAAUAUAUGAUUUCUUCCUCUUGUGAAUA